rnacentral:sRNA from 1 species
CUGGAGCAGCCAGGCCAGGGCGGCAGCACCAGCGCCUUCGAGCAGCUGCAGAGGUCCCGACGGCGCCUCAUCUCCCAGAGAUCUUCCUUGGAGACCCUGGAAGAUAUUGAGGAGAACGCCCCUCUCCGGAGGUAAUUUUCUGUUUCAUUUAUGUAUAUGUAAACAGUACACCAUGACAGCCAGAGAUUGAUUUUGGUUUUUUAACUUCUUGAUCUAUAGAAUUAAAUUUAAAAAUAACCAUCUGAACUCCAGGGACUAUGGGACAUCUCCUAGUGUCUAACCCAUCUCUGAGGACCACUAGAACUAGACAACGUUAAAUCCAAUUAGGUGUUGGAGUAGCCCAGUUUGCGUGGAGAUUUGGGUGCUUUUCUUUCCGUGGCGCCUCUUCAUUUUGUAAACUGCUGCUUAAUGGAACAAGACCCAGCAUUGUCCCGGCCCAUCCCCCAGGUGCAGUCACACAGUAGGUACAGUCCUGGACUUCAUUCUCAGCGGGAGGGGCAACAAGAACUCCUCAGGAGGUAACCACGAUGUCGCUCCCUGGCUAGGUGCUGGGAAGCCCAAUUAGGAUAGUUGUGAGU